rnacentral:rRNA from 1 species
AGAGUUUGAUCCUGGCUCAGAGCGAACGCUGGCGGCGUGCUUAACACAUGCAAGUCGAGUGCGCGUCCGUAGCAAUACGGAUGGCGCACGGCGCACGGGUGCGUAACACGUGGGUAAUCUGCCCUCUGAUGGGGAAUAACUCGCCGAAAGGCGAGCUAAUUCCGCAUAACAUUCCUUGGACCCCGGUUCGAGGAUUCAAAGGCGUAAGUCGUCGGAGGUGGAGCCCGCGCACGAUUAGCUAGUUGGUGAGGUAAUGGCUCACCAAGGCUAUGAUCGUUAGCUGGUCUGAGAGGAUGGCCAGCCACACUGGAACUGAGACACGGUCCAGACUCCUACGGGAGGCAGCAGUGGGGAAUCUUGCACAAUGGGCGAAAGCCUGAUGCAGCGACGCCGCGUGGGGGAUGAAGCUUCUCGGAGUGUAAACCCCUUUCGACCGGGACGAAUGCCCGCAAGGGAUUGACGGUACCGGUAUAAGAAGCCCCGGCUAACUACGUGCCAGCAGCCGCGGUAAGACGUAGGGGGCCAGCGUUGCUCGGAAUUACUGGGUGUAAAGGGUUCGUAGGCGGUGUGGCAAGUCGGGAGUGAAAUCUCUGGGCUCAACCCAGGGGCUGCUUCCGAAACUGCCGUGCUAGAGUGUGGGAGAGGCGCGUGGAAUUGCAGGUGUAGCGGUGAAAUGCGUAGAUAUCUGCAGGAACACCCGUGGCGAAAGCGGCGCGCUGGACCACUACUGACGCUGAGGAACGAAAGCUAGGGGAGCAAACAGGAUUAGAUACCCUAGUAGUCC